rnacentral:rRNA from 1 species
GUGCCAGCCGCUGCGGUAAUACGUAGGGCGCAAGCGUUGUCCGGAAUUAUUGGGCGUAAAGAGCUCGUAGGCGGUUUGUCGCGUCUGCUGUGAAAACCCGAGGCUCACCUCGGGCCCGCAGUGGGUACGGGCAGACUAGAGUGCGGUAGGGGAGACUGGAACUCCUGGUGUAGCGGUGGAAUGCGCAGAUAUCAGGAAGAACACCAAUGGCGAAGGCAGGUCUCUGGGCCGUAACUGACGCUGAGGAGCGAAAGCAUGGGGAGCGAACAGGAUUAGAUACCCUGGUAGUCCAUGCCGUAAACGUUGGGCGCUAGACGUGGGGACCUUUCCACGGUUUCCGUGUCGUAGCUAACGCAUUAAGCGCCCCGCCUGGGGAGUACGGCCGCAAGGCUAAAACUCAAAGGAAUUGACGGGGGCCCGCACAAGCGGCGGAGCAUGCGGAUUAAUUCGAUGCAACGCGAAGAACCUUACCAAGGCUUGACAUAUAGAGGAAACGGCUAAGAGAUAGUCGCCCCGCAAGGUCUACUAUACAGGUGGUG